GGAAACAUUGUUGCACUUGGGCAACCAUUGAAAUACGCCUUUAAGAACCAAGUAUCUCCUAAGUUAUAGCAAUGGUAUUUCCUUUCUUGCAACAAUAGUGAUAAGUCAAGUGAUGAUGAGAAUGACUUUCGCUAUUUGAUUUCUUUAAAACAAAAUUAUACUUUUUGUAUGGUACAUUUAAAGAUCUUUUAAGUUUUGUUGGCUUAAUAGCGAAGGUAACUUUUGGUUCUAAGGCCUUGUGCAUUUUGACUUUUAGAAUAAUAACCUCUUUUUUC
rnacentral:lncRNA from 1 species